GUGCUCUUAUCAGUUCGAUAGAACGUGGGUCUUCAAAACCCGAUGUCGUAGGUUCAAAUCUUACAGAGCUCC
rnacentral:tRNA from 1 species